AGAGUUUGAUCCUGGCUCAGGACGAACGCUGGCGGCGUGCUUAACACAUGCAAGUCGAGCGGAAAAGCCCUUCGGGGUACUCGAGCGGCGAACGGGUGAGUAACACGUGAGGGACCUGCCCUUAACUCUGGGAUAGCUUCGGGAAACCGGAAUUAAUACCGGAUAUGACUGCAACCGGCAUCGGUUGUGGUGGAAAGAUUUAUCGGUUAGGGAUGGACUCGCGGCCUAUCAGCUUGUUGGUGAGGUAACGGCUCACCAAGGCGACGACGGGUAGCCGGCCUGAGAGGGCGACCGGCCACACUGGGACUGAGACACGGCCCAGACUCCUACGGGAGGCAGCAGUGGGGAAUAUUGCGCAAUGGGCGAAAGCCUGACGCAGCAACGCCGCGUGGGGGAUGAAUGUCUUCGGAUUGUAAACCCCUUUCAGCAGGGACGAAGCGAGAGUGACGGUACCUGCAGAAGAAGCGCCGGCUAACUACGUGCCAGCAGCCGCGGUAAUACGUAGGGCGCAAGCGUUGUCCGGAAUUAUUGGGCGUAAAGAGCUCGUAGGUGGUUUGCUACGUCCGCUGUGAAAACCUAGGGCUUAACCCUGGGCCUGCAGUGGAUACGGGCAGACUAGAGGUAGGUAGGGGAGAAUGGAAUUCCCGGUGUAGCGGUGAAAUGCGCAGAUAUCGGGAGGAACACCGGUGGCGAAAGCGGUUCUCUGGGCCUUACCUGACACUGAGGAGCGAAAGCGUGGGGAGCGAACAGGAUUAGAUACCCUGGUAGUCCACGCCGUAACGUUGGGCGCUAGGUGUGGGGUCCUUCCACGGACUCCGUGCCGCAGCUAACGCAUUAAGCGCCCGCCUGGGGAGUACGGCGCA
rnacentral:rRNA from 1 species